GACGAACGCUGGCGGCGUGCUUAACACAUGCAAGUCGAGCGAUGAAGCACCUUCGGGUGUGAAUUAGCGGCGAAACGGGUGAGGAACACGUGAGAAAUCUGCCUUCAACACUGGGAUAACUCCGGGAAACCGGGGCUAAUACCGGAUAUGAAAUCUGCGGGCAUCCGCGGAUUUGGAAAGUUUUUCGGUUGAAGAUGAUCUCGCGGCCUAUCAGCUUGUUGGUGAGGUAAUGGCUCACCAAGGCGACGACGGGUAGCCGGCCUGAGAGGGCGACCGGCCACACUGGGACUGAGACACGGCCCAGACUCCUACGGGAGGCAGCAGUGGGGAAUCUUGCGCAAUGGGCGAAAGCCUGACGCAGCAACGCCGCGUGCGGGAUGAAGGCCUUCGGGUUGUAAACCGCUUUCAGCAGGGAAGAAAUUGACGGUACCUGCAGAAGAAGCCCCGGCCAACUACGUG
rnacentral:rRNA from 1 species